AGCAUGCAAGUCGAACGGUAGAGUUGCUUUUGUAACUUGAGAGUGGCGAACGGGUGAGUAACACGUAGAUGAUCUGCCUUUAAGUUGGGGAUAGCCCAUAGAAAUAUGGGGUAAUACCGAAUAAUGCCUUAGCACUGUGGUGUUUUGGAGAAAGGGGCCUUGGCCUUGCUUUUAGAUGAGUCUGCGGCUUAUUAUGUUUGUUGGUGGGGUAAAGGCCUACCAAGGCGACGAUAAGUAGCCGGCCUGAGAGGGUGACCGGCCACAUUGGGACUGAGACACGGCCCAAACUCCUACGGGAGGCAGCAGCUAAGAAUCUUCCGCAAUGGGCGCAAGCCUGACGGAGCGACGCCGCGUGGACGAAGAAUGCCGAGAGGUUGUAAAGUCCUUUUAUAUACGAAGAAUAAUACCCUUAGGUAAUGAUGGGUAGAUGACGUUAGUAUAUGAAUAAGCUCCGGCCAAUUACGUGCCAGCAGCCGCGGUAACACGUAAGGAGCGAGCGUUGUUCGGAAUUAUUGGGCGUAAAGGGCAUGUAGGCGGUUAUGUAAGUCUGAUGUGAAAUACUAUAGCUUAACUAUAGAAACGCAUUGGAAACUGUAUGACUUGAAUCAGUGAGGGGUAACCGGAAUUCCUAGUGUAGGGGUGAUAUCUGUUGAUAUUAGGAAGAACACCGAUGGCGAAGGCAGGUUACUGGUACAUGAUUGACGCUGAGAUGCGAAAGCGUAGGUAGCGAACAGGAUUAGAUACCCUGGUAGUCUACGCUGUAAACGAUGUGCACUUGGUGUUGGGGUGUCUAAGCCUCAGUGCCGAAGCUAACGCAUUAAGUGCACCGCCUGGGGAGUAUGCCGGCAACGGUGAAACUCAAAUGAAUUGACGG
rnacentral:rRNA from 1 species